rnacentral:rRNA from 1 species
AACGAACGCUGGCGGCAUGCCUAACACAUGCAAGUCGAACGAGACCUUCGGGUCUAGUGGCGCACGGGUUCGUAACGCGUGGGAACCUGCCCUUAGGUUCGGAAUAACUCCCCGAAAGGGGUGCUAAUACCGGAUAAUGUCUUCGGACCAAAGAUUUAUCGCCUUUGGAUGGGCCCGCGUUGGCUUAGCUAGUUGGUAGGGUAAAAGCCUACCAAGGCGACGAUCCAUAGCUGGUCUGAGAGGACGAUCAGCCACACUGGGACUGAGACACGGCCCAGACUCCUACGGGAGGCAGCAGUGGGGAAUAUUGGACAAUGGGCGAAGGCCUGAUCCAGCAAUGCCGCGUGAGUGAUGAAGGCCUUAGGGUUGUAAAGCUCUUUUACCCGGGAUGAUAAUGACCGUAACGGGAGAAUAAGCUCCGGCUAACUCCGUG